rnacentral:rRNA from 1 species
GGUGUCAGCCGCCGCGGUAAAACGUAGGAGGCGAGCGUUAUCCGGAUUUACUGGGUGUAAAGCGCAUGCAGGCGGUUCUGUAAGUUCGGUGUGAAAGCUCCUGGCUCAACUGGGAGAGGUCGCUGAAGACUGCAGGGCUUGAGCGUGGUAGGGGAAGGCGGAAUUCCGGGUGUAGUGGUGAAAUGCGUAGAUAUCCGGAGGAACACCAGUGGCGAAGGCGGCCUUCUGGACCACGACUGACGCUCAGAUGCGAAAGCUAGGGUAGCAAACGGGAUUAGAGACCCCGGUAGUCCUAGCCGUAAACGAUGUGAACUUGGCGCCUGGCGGGUAAAACUGCUGGGUGCCGGAGCUAACGCGAUAAGUUCACCACCUGGGGACUACGGCCGCAAGGUUAAAACUCAAAGGAAUUGACGGGGGCCCGCACAAGU